rnacentral:misc_RNA from 1 species
GCAUGGUAGCUGCGUCACACCGGCCACGCGGAGACGUUUCCUUAAGCGAGUGGCUGGCGGCGAGAGCUCGUGGCUCUCACCCUCUCCCACACAAACGUUCUUCCUCCUCAUCGUCAUCCUCUGUCGGAGGAGGUGUGUGUCUCUCCUCCUGGUCGCUGGACGGCUCGUUGGCUGCCUGCCCUUCUCAAAGGAAGCGCCAGCGGCUGGAGAAUCACGUGCGAAUCGUGAGAACGCCGGACGAAGACGGCUUGCUGCUGCAGAAGGCGGCGGCGGCGCCGGCGGAACGCUGGGACCUUGUCGCCCGAGCAACGCGGUGAACGACAGUGACCGAUAUAACAAGUGCCGGACAGAGCGACCGACCGACCGACCAACGAGGGACGGACCACGAGGCGCGGCAAAGCGAGUGAUUUCACUGGAAAGAAGUGUGAGCGCGUCGCAGCGUGAACGGCGAAAUCGUCCUGGAGCGGCGUACUCGGUCGAGUGACGAAGACAUUGGAUGCUACCACGCAUGGUGUUGUGCGUGCGGAAGAUUUGUCGAGUUUCUUGGGCGCUAAUAGGGAAAAAAGUUGAGAUCGUCUCCUCUGGCGAGAAAGGAAUCUUCACGAAGACCUUCAACGCCUACUUGAACUGUGGGGACUUGUACACAGUCGGCGUCAGAGUACAACAUUCGCAGCCUCGUCAUCGGACCCGUGACAGCAGCAUGUGAUACCGCAGCGUCUGUUUCGGGCUCUUUCGUGGUGUACGGAUCAAAAUUGGAGUAGUUUUCCUCUCUUGCACUCUCCAUCAGGUUCUGGACGACGUGUGUGGUGAGGCACAUAGUCGUGUGCGACGAAAGUUAACAUUUGUUCUUUUCAUGCCCGACCACAGUGACGCAGCCGUACCUCUGACGUUCACAACCGGGGAAAGAAAAAAAAAAAGCUUGUGUUCGUGCAUCGUCUUUUCUUCCACCCAGUGCAGCAAUUUGCAGUCUGAUCCAAGCAUCCUCAAAGAGCCUAGAAGAAAGGAUCCCAUUGUCGUUGAAUCUGUUUCCUCAACCUUAACUUCGUCGGGACUAAGUGCCGGAAAACGAAAAUUCAUUUCUGAGAAGUUGGCGAAUGCAAUUCUGCCCCCGAAGAAAUCCAAGGAAAUAGUUGUGUGACGUCAAAGCUAAAGGACUCUGUUUAGCGGCUAAACCGCUUCUUUCCUUAGAGCCAGACUGUGACUGCCUUUAAGACAAAAGCACUACUUGAACGCAGAAGACAGGACAGAGAGCGCCUGUAUAUGUGCAAACCUUGGUGCGUUGCACGGUGACUGCAGUGAGCAUGUGAUAUAAUGGACUUCUACAAACCCUUGGCCACAGGAGGUCCGGUAGAAUGAAGUCUGUCAAGCAGUUCUUGCAUUCGUUCGGAGCGAAUGGCAAGAGCCCGGAUAGGCUCAAGUUCCCUUCUGAAGAUGGCCCGGUUACAACCCUCGACGUGCGUCCAGACAUUUUGGUCUCAACUAAGAAGGAUUUUUCAAUCAAGAAUAGCUGCCUGCCGGAGGCUCCAGGUAUCAGGAUGGCCACGAAUGCCAGUGGCAAGCCGUUUCCUGUGAUCUGCAACGUGCGAUCAAAGGACUUAAAGGCUUCGAAGUUAGCAACAAGGAACGAAGCGUCUCCUCCUCGUUCUAAUGGCGUUCGAACUUUCAGGAAAUGCGCUUCAGGUAUAAGUGCCGGCGUUGUGGAAAGUGAAAGUCAGGAAGGAACGCCCGUCCACGCCAUAGCACGUCAGCCGGUCACUCUGCGCGUGUCUUCUGUUCCUUCGAGGCAGGAUCACCUGUGUUCAGGGCGUUCCCUGGUUCCACCGCCUAUGGUAACUGCGGCGCUUGCAAAGAGGCGCGUUGACGAAUCCAAGAUCGAACCGGAGAAGAACGUAUCUCAGGAUGGUGGCACGAAAGGCCAAAGUACCUAUUCCGGUGUUCGGAUGUUGAAGAGGGCCGUCACCGAACGAACGCUGCUCAACGAAUGCGCGACACGGGGGGACCACAACGUAAGUGGUCUGCCCCAGCAGGACGGCCUUGCCCUGACGAGGAUACCGAGGUUUACUGCGGCUCCCCCACCCGCCAUACCGCCUCGCGUGCAAAAGCCAGUGGCCCAAAAGCCAGCUAUACUUCGACGCAGUACGAGCGACAUUUCGCAGAAAGGCGGCGCUUCAAACGGUGGCGCUCACAUCAGUGAGCGACAUAGUGGACGCCCAGCGGCCGGCGGCGCAGAGGUGGCUAAGGUUUCACUGAAGCCAGCGGCCAGUUUCACCGCCCCGAAGACAAACGAUGGCGCGGUAACUGAGGCGCAGCUUGCGCCACCAUGUCUCGAAGACGGAGGCAGUGAGUCAAGCAGCUCGCAAGCCGAGAGAGCGAGUGCAGCAGAAUCGGAAGAAGCGUCCCCUGCCACGACGAAGAUUCCCGGGGCCAAAGGAAAGUCGAAGAGCCGCUGCCAAAGACGCAUCUGGAGCUUCAGUCUUCCGCGAUUUAUGCGCUCUCAUUCUUCGCCCAAGCUGAACACGGACUCCAUUCCCGGUGAGGAAUCGCGAAGCUCCACUCUGCCGCGACUAAAAUCGACUGAUGACGCUGACCUUUCGGCAGUAGGAAAGGGCAGCAGUCCACAUCUGUUCAAGAUCACGUCCCUCACGUCGCUUCACGACUUGCCAGGUCAUACGCCGCCCAAAACAUGCUUCAGUCAGGGCGACAUCAACCAGACGACGACCUCGACGAAGACGACGGAAGGCCAACGUAUCGUGAAUCGGCAGCAGGACGAAGACAUUCGCUCGGGCAAUGGGGUUUCUCAAGAAGCCAAGAAGUCGUGCUCCCUAGCCGAAAGUCACUCCAGUUCCGACAACGGAACAGAUAACGGCUGCCCCGAGAGGCCUUACGUAAUGCCUCCGAGAGCUCUCAGGAAGUACAUCAAAACCAAUUUCCGCAGGCUGAACAUGCAAGAUGGGGUUGAAGCCGACACUGUAAAGAAGGACGGCGACGCGGCCCUGAAGAUUAUCGCCAAAGAAGAUCCAAUUCCGCAGCAGGCAUUGUCUGCGACUUCCGAGAAAGACGUCGAAUCUCUCCCAAGCAGGUCAUCACUGUCCUCCUGUUCCGACAAUGCGAGAACUGUACCAAACGAUAUUCUAGAACAAGAGCGUGAUUCCAAAGAACCGGAAGUUUCUAUCGAUUCUCUAGCCAAAGUUACGGAGCAGAUUGUCGCCGAUCACUCUCAUACAGCUAGUCACACCAAAGAAAACAGCGAAGAAUGCUUGUCGAAGACACAUCCGUCAUUACUCAGUGCUCAUAGGCUCUCACCGCCAAUGACUUGUUUCGACGUGGAUGCAGAAGUCUUCUCUGAACACGCGGACAUUCACAGGGCUAUACCUGCGACAGUAAGGCUAAUCACUGCUGCCAACGCAGCGUUAUCCGUAUUGGAUUCUCCCGGUCAAGGCGCCACGCCUACUCCUCGGGUAGCGGACGCGGAAACUGGCGGUGCAGGUUGCGAGCCUCCCGUGAGAGUUCUCGCAACUUCCGCGGGAAUUGCGUGCUCGCCAUCUCUCGACGUGAGUGACAGCAGCACGCAAGGUCCGCUCGCUCGCCUUUCAACUACGGGUAUCAGUGAAGACGGCUGCGCUUCCACGACGGACAGCGCACCGCUUGCGAACGGCGCCCCGGACGUACCCGAGGAGCUGGAGAGGCAGGUGGACGGCGCCAGCUGCAGCGAGAGCCUCUCCUCGUUCGAGUCGGAGGUGGCGCUGCCCGACAGGCAGGAGAGAAAGGCGCAUGGAGGAGGCCACACUAGGAAACUAAGGGUGCUGGACAGGCCCACGUGUGGCGCAGGCGCUGCUGUGGCUCGCAAUAAGUGCAGCGGAGGAGUAGCGGCGGGCUCGGGCAUCGGCUGCUGCUGCUCGGGUGCAUCGGCCUGCAGCAACUCCCGGUCGUCCCGGGCCGCCGCCAACAUCAACAACAAGAGGCACUCGUGCGGCGACCGCGUCCGACAGCUGGAGAACGACGUGUGGCAGGCCGAGCGGGAACUGCUGCUCAUCAAGGAAAAGCUACUCAGGGGCCACGGAAGGCAUAGUUCCAGGCCUACGGACAAGUCAAAGAGCGACCGGGAGAAAGGCGGCGGCAGCCAUCGCGCAAAUGGAACAGUGAAGGUUGCAACGGAGUCAACAGAAGUUCAAUGCGACGCUUCCUCAAACCCAGAAUCUAGUCCCUUCCUUCACGUUCAAGAUGAACUGCUCUCAAAAGUUCCAGGCGCAGAAGGCGAUGCCACGAGACGGGUCCACGAAGAAAACUUGCUGCUUCAACAGGAACUCAAGGAGAAAUGCGACUUGCUCUCUAAGCUUGAGGAGGAACUGGACCACCGUGACGACGCCACCGCGCUUGAGGCGCUGGACCGGACGACAACGCCCCUGUCGCUUAACCACCGCCCGCAGCAGCGGGAGGAGCUUCGCGUGACGCAAGAGGCCCUGAGCAGCCUGCGGCAGUGCUUCAGGCUGGACGACCCCUACCAACACACGCUGGACACCAUCGAGCAGUCGUUGUGCACGCUGCUCGAACGAGUCACCUGCAUGGAGAAAAUGGCCGCAGCAGCCACCGCUUGUCCUUCCACGGGUUCCCUUAGUGCUGCAUCUGCGCGUCGACUGAACUUCGACUCGACGGGUGACCCACGGCGGCUACCAAUCACAACACUUUCCCGGCUACCGCACCGACCCUCCAACAUCCCUCGGCCAAUGCUCUCAACCGGCGAGCACCAAGGUGAUCUACUACACAGAGAGGUCGGUCACCCCGUUCCUGUCGGCCAUACCCAAAAGGCUCAGCGACAUUCGACUUCGAGACUUCAAAGUAGUGUUUGAUCGUCCCGGCCAGUACAGAUAUCAUUUCAAGACACUCGAUCCCGAGUUUGGAAUGGUCAAAGAGGAAGUCCUUCACGAUGAUGAUCGUGUACCUGGCUGGGACGGCAAGAUCGUUGCUUGGAUAGAGGAGGACAUCUGAGGAACUGCACUGCCAUGUUUCUCCUUCGCUCAGGCAUCGCGUCAAUUCAUCUGUACAUAGCGCAUCAUUGUCUCCCAAACGUGUGCCUACAAUCACUACCAGUUGUUCCGUUCCGACUUGCACGGUUUGUAACUUAUUGAAAGUGCGAGUUAGUUGCUUGUUAACCGAGUCGUGCGUGUGCGUGCCCACUGGUUAUCCAAGGCCUAUAUAUUGUUUUAUUAUGUCGAGUUGGGGUUUUUUUUUUUCGAAAAACAAAGUUCCGGUGACCUCGGAAUACGUGCCGUAACGAGAUUUCGUUUACAGUCUAAGCUGCUCUACUGUAACGUUCACACACAGAAAAACAAUAGGGAUUCUCCAGCACCAUCAAGCUAUACGCGCUGUCUCGCUCCUUCACCCGAAAACGCUCUUCGUAGUUAAACCUAACGGCAGCUGCGGCUUGCUAUAGAAUAAAGAAGCUUAUACGCGAAUUCCGCAUCGCAGGCAGAAGUUCCUGCUGUUUACGUUUUUUCGGUGCCGGGAAAAUAACUCACAGUAGCCUGUCGUGAACCGGAAUCAACAGUGGCAAGCAAAAAAAGUUUACAAAAAAUUUAAGGCGGACAUUCGUCAAGCACUCUUUUAGCUCAUGGCUGCAACGGCACGACUAAAGUCAAGGACGAACAGGAGGGGGGAACGCCACACAGCUCUCACUAUCAACUGAAGUUUACUGAAGGAAAACGAACAAUAUAGGAAGACUAAGUGUCGCGUGGCAUCAAACCCCUCACUUCAGAGAAAUUCGCUACAAAAAAAAAAAACUUCAGGUUAAAAUAGUAAAAAAAGGUAACUUCAGGUAAUAUAGUCAGCACCGUAUUUGAUGUUCUCUCUUUCAUGUCCUUAGUUGCAGUCUUGCAGCCAUGAACAUAUAUUAACCGGGCUCUUUUAGCUUUAAGUUUCAAACUAAACUGCGUGAAGUUUCCUUGCUUUCCUUGGACAGGGCGUUGACGUUUGCUGUGAGAAUUGGUUCUCAUGCUGAUGCUGGGUGACACUGCUUUCUUGAAGCGAUUGCGUCAAAUAAAGCAUGACAGUCACAUGAACGAUUAGCAUCACAUUCAAAGAGGUGCGCCUUCGCAAAAUAAAAUUGUGAGACCUUCUUUUUUUUUUUUAUGAAGAAACGAGCUUGCGUUCAGAAAACCACGUCGGCACAGCCACGUCACCAGAGUGCGGGCAAUGUGCCACCAUUUAAUAGUUCUGUCAUACUUGAGAAGCUCCUCAAAACUUUGCUAUUUUUGUUUCCAUGUGUCGCCUGCAGGAGCAUGUUUCAUAUUGGAACGGUUCGUAUUUAUGGCCUUGAAGAACGCGCUGUUAAUAAAGCCAAGUGCAAUUUUUCGAAGUCACUGCAUGACGUGACAAUAAAUAAAUAAAUAAAAAAAACUUUCA